AUUUUUUAUUUAACCUUUAUUUAACCAGGAGUAAAAACUCAUUGAGAUUAAAAAUCUCUUUUCCAAGAGUGUCCUGCAUGGCCAAGAUAGGCAGCACCACAGUUACACACAAAUUUCAAAAUCAUAAAGGUAUCAAAAAAAAAAACAUUCAUCAACAUUCAAAACACCUACAGCCAGAUGUGCCUGUUUACAAAUCUUUUAGAAGCACUUUAAAGAUGUUCAGUGUGACCAGCUCUCAAAUUAGACAGAAUAUAUACGUAAAAACAAUAUAAAAUGGCUUUAUAACAAUCCACUGGGUAUAUCCUAUUUUUGCACUGACUAAUUUAAGAGCUAUAUUACUUGCACAACAUUUCAAAUAUUACACUCUGCGACCUUGCAUUUCUGAAAUCAUAUAUAAGGAUAUAUAUUUGCAAUAUUUGCCUAUUGCAUUUUGUUCUGUAUAUGUAUUGUUCAGCUAUACACAUUAGGUGUCUGUGCAGGUUCAUAUCGCACUGCAAGGUCAUGGUUCUGCUUUAUUUUCCCCCUCAUUAUCAUAAGGCAUCCAUCUCUUUCUUCCAUUAGUGACGCUUCACCAUGUCGCCAACCCGACCUCUAUUUACAUGACUAAAUUAGAUUUCUUCUCGGCCGUUUUGUUUCGGAAAGCCUGCCUCUAAUAUUCAAAAGAAAAAUAUAUGUAUAGGACAAUAGCUUUUGACUGCUUUAUAUUAAAAGAAAAAAACAUAUAAGUCAAUUCAUCAUAUUUUAUUUGUAUUUUACAAAUACUAGGCCUUGGCUAUUGUAAGUUCCUUAUAUGUCACAAUUUUUUUUAUUUAUUUAUUUUUUAUUUAUUUUUUAACAUGGACAAAAUGCCCUUCCUAUUCCACACCUGUCACCAAUUUAUCAGCACAAUUUUGCAACAUAACUAAAACCAGUAUAAAAAAAACAGGCAAUUUAAGAAAAAGAAUAUGUCAUGAUGAUGAGUGUUUUUAGCACGUGAAGAGGGGGGUUGGUGAUGGCGGUCACCUGCUCACCAUCGCCAGGGGUCCCGCACUGUUGACAUAUUGAGUAUGACCCCCUCAUUUCUCCCAGUGUCCCAAUUCUAUUGAGAGUUUUGAACAUGCAUAAUGUGUAGACACGAGGCGAAGGGGCCUCGAUGACCUCUGUCUCAACAUAUGUGGCACACUUGCCCUCUGCACGCUCUAAUUUUGUGAGAUGACAGGCAAUAAUGAAAUGUUGGUAUACGAAACUAUAAAGAACCAUACAGACUUAAUAUCGAUGCUGCCUUUUGCGUUUAUCUUAAAAUCUCUAAAUCUUGUACUUACUAUGAUGCUAUGAUGUUGUUUUUGUGAUUAAUUUACCAAUUCUUCCUACACAUAUUUAUAGUUAUAUUUUGAAAAGACUGAAAAAAUGUAGAAUUAAAUCUACAACAGUAAGUAAAAUACACCAAAAGAAAUCUGACCAAAAAAUCCACGAUUUCUUUUUUUUUUUUUUUUUGCAUAUUCCGCCUCCAUCAUCUGAGAUGUAGGUCAACUCACAUCUCUUGAUCGCCUACAGCGAUUUACAGCUUGAAGCAUUUGAUGCAGCUCUGUGAUUAUAGGAGUAGAAGCUCAUUAUUUAAAUCACACAUGAUGUGCUUUGGGCCUUUUUUUUUACUUUGAAAAGAAACACCACUUAAAGAUACAAAUACAAAUAGAAAUGACUUCUUUAUUGAGACUUUUUUUUUGCAGAACAAAAACACAAACAAAGGCGUAGUAUUGAAACCCACAAACAAAAAUUUAAUUUAUAAUUUAAAAUAAAGUGCAAAGCCGUUUUUUUUUUUUCAAGUGUGCAUGGUGAUGGAAAUAUAAUCAGCAUGCAUGAGAAUGAUUUAGGACAUUAUUGCCUUUUCUCCUACAGCAGCACAUGAUGCUCUUCUAGCAUUCUCAUCCUGUUUUUCCAUCUUCCUCUCAGACAGGACAAGUGCACGCUCAUGCGUAAACACAGAGACCUUUGAAGUGGCCCUCUGUCACCACAUGGCGAAUCCCCCUGGUGUGAUCCCUCUGUCCAUUUGGCCGCAGGACCGACACCGGUAGGUUGCCUACGGCUCUUGUCUGUUCUGUCAUUAUGGAAACCAGUAUAUUACUUAGACUGGUGCCUUCUAUGUUUCCUGUAUGUCUCUCUCUAAAUGAUCUGUGCACAUGCCUUAGGUCACGGCUCUGUUACCUCUUUGGCUAACGCUUCUCCUUCCGUUUCUCUAAUGCCGUUGCUUGUUAAUCUCAUAGGAUUGUAUAGCGACCAUCCAUCUGUGUGGUUAUCAGCGCCACACUCCUGUCCUGUGUGCUGGUCUCUCAGGUGAGCGAGGACUGUGGCUUCUCUCUUGGCAUUCACCGCGUGCCUUAAUUGUAUUGAAAUUAAAUCAAGGUCCACUGUGAACACAAAGAGCUCAAACCCAAACUUCCCACAAUGUUCCUCCUCAUCACAUCCUGUUCUCCUCUGUGGCUUACCGCACGUUUAGCAACACUUUCCCUCCUUUGUAUUCACGUCCUAUACAGCAAUUUUCAACAUGAACACUAUAGAAAUUGAGACUGCUAAACACUGUCUCAAUCUUUAAAAAGUGCAUCCCUAACGUUGUACAUUUCGUCAGUCCAUCCCUGUUUGACUUUCCUCUCUCCUCACCUGUGAUCUCUCCUCCCUGUGGGCUCAGAGGCGGCUAUGCGGUCCUUUUUCACACGUCAAAGUACAUUGCAUGCUAAUCCCACGCCAGCUCCCUUUGCAAUGAAAACAGGUUUUCUAUACAGACAAUACAGUAGGGGGGGGG